UGGGGAAUAUUGCACAAUGGGGGAAACCCUGAUGCAGCAACGCCGCGUGAGUGAUGAAGGCCUUCGGGUUGUAAAGCUCUGUCUUUUGGGACGAUAAUGACGGUACCAAAGGAGGAAGCCACGGCUAACUACGUGCCAGCAGCCGCGGUAAUACGUAGGUGGCAAGCGUUGUCCGGAUUUACUGGGCGUAAAGGAUGCGUAGGUGGAUACUUAAGUGAGAUGUGAAAUUCCCGAGCUUAACUUGGGAGCUGCAUUUCAAACUGGGUAUCUAGAGUGCAGGAGAGGUAAGUGGAAUUCCUAGUGUAGCGGUGAAAUGCGUAGAGAUUAGGAAGAACACCAGUGGCGAAGGCGACUUACUGGACUGUAACUGACACUGAGGCAUGAAAGCGUGGGGAGCAAACA
rnacentral:rRNA from 1 species